UUGUUACUGAUGGAUCGAUUCCUGAUAUCAAACUAGUCACCUACAUACAACGCUUGAAUUUAGGAUUUGAGGUAGAGGCAACAUUACCUACAAGAUAAUUGCAAGCAUGAUCUGACAGAAAGUGCGUUAAAUGUGAUUGACAAAAUUAUAACUAAUGUGGGCCACCAAGUUGGAUCUGGAGGCAAGGCAACGUGGAAACAAAAUGAGCACGAAGUUCUGCAGAGAAUGGCUUGGUAAACACAUCUGCAAUCUGCAUAUGAGAUGGCACAUGAGCAGUGGAGAAAACUACGCUACAAUUGAUCUCUCACAAAUCAAAAUGUGAUAAUCAAUAUCAAUGUGCUUGAUUCCCCCAUGAAAUUAAUUGUAAUUUAUUUAUCUUGUAUUGACUUUAGUUACCAGCCUAAUUUGUUUUAGCCAUUUUAGCAAUUGAACUAACCCUAAACUCAACGAUUGAACUUGCCAACAGUCUUUACCAAACUUUAGAUCAGAAAAAA
rnacentral:misc_RNA from 1 species